GUGAAUCAUCAAAUCUUUGAACGCAAAUUGCACUCUCCGGUUUUCCGGGAGAGUAUGCCUGUUUGCGGGUCUGUUUAAAAAAUAAUCGAGGCUGCUGCUGUGGUGGCGCUUCGGAAUUGGUCCAUCUUCCACCUUUCGGGGUUGUAAGCGACCUAAAAUUUUUUUUUUCAUUUUGUCGAAACCAAUUAAGAAAUUCUUUUUAGUUCUCUUAAUUGAUAUUAAAUUACAGGGUAUCAACACA
rnacentral:misc_RNA from 1 species